GAGGGCGUCGAUCGGCAACCCGGAUGCUUGUCGUGAUGCCUAGAGAGGAUGGAUGACAAGAGACACAGAUACAGACACGCCUCUUUUCCUCUUCUCUUGUCCUUUUUUCGUUGUGCUCUCAAUAAAGCUUGAUAUUGAAAUUGAAAGUGCUACUGAAAGUGUGGGCAAGCAUAUGCUCGAAGCAUGCAACAAUAAUCUGGAAAUGGCUGUCACUAUGUUCCUCGAUGGUGGAGGGAUAGCAGAGGAGCCUAGCACCAGUUCUGCGAGUGUAUCAAACCUACGACCACAUACAGAAGAUGAAGUAAGAGCACCUAUUCCUCAAAAGCAGGAAAUUCUGGUAGAACCUGAGCCUUUAUUUGGUGCUCCAAAAAGACGCAGACCCGCUCGUUCAAUAUUUGAUGGUUUUCGGGAUUUCCAGACAGAAACAAUUCGGCAGGAGCAAGAGUUGAGGAAUGGAGGAGCAAUAGACAAGAAACUCACCACCCUUGCAGAUCUCUUCAGGCCUCCAAUUGAUCUGAUGCACAAAGGAAGUUUUGAAACGGCCAAGGAGUGUGGUCAGAUGCAGAACAAAUGGCUCAUGAUUAACAUACAGAAUGUGCAGGAUUUUGCCUGUCAGUGUCUCAACCGUGAUGUUUGGAGCAAUGAGGCUGUGAAAAACAUUAUUCGAGAGCACUUCAUUUUCUGGCAGGUGUACCAUGACAGUGAGGAAGGACAAAGAUACAUACAGUUCUACAAACUAGCAGACUUUCCUUAUGUUUCUAUCCUGGACCCUAGGACAGGGCAGAAGCUAGUUGAGUGGCAUCAGCUAGAUGUAACUUCUUUUUUGGACCAAGUGACUGGGUUCCUCGGUGAGCAUGGACAACUGGAUGGACAUUCCACCAGCCCUCCCCAGAAACGUUCUCGGUCUGAGAGUCUCAUUGACGCAAGUGAAGAUAGCCAGUUGGAAGCUGCCAUCAGAGCAUCCCUACAGGAGACCCAUUUUGACUCUCACCAAGUCAGGCAGGACAACAGAUCAGAUGAAGAGUCUGAAUCAGAGCUUUUCUCUGGAAGUGAAGAAUUUAUUUCUGUUUGUGGUUCUGAUGAUGAUGAGCCAGACAAUCCAGCCAAGUCUAGGAAGUCUCCGCACAAGGACUUGGGCUGUAGGAAAGAGGAAGGCAGAAGGCCCCAGCCUGAGCCCACAGCAAGGACUGAACCAGAGAUGGUAACAAACCAUCGAGGACUGUCUUGCAUGGAUUCUGGGGUACUAGAAGAGAUUGGGCCUAAGCCAGAAGCUGCAGUGAAGGAGCUUAAUGUGAAUGGACCAAAGGCACAGCUAAUGUUAAGGUAUCCAGAUGGGAAGAGGGAACAAAUUUCACUGCCUGAACAAGCUAAGCUUCUGGCUCUCAUCAAACAUGUACAGUCAAAAGGAUACCCCAAUGAACGUUUUGAACUCCUCACCAACUUUCCCCGGAGGAAACUUUCCCAUCUGGACUAUGACAUCACAUUACAGGAGGCUGGUCUUUGUCCUCAAGAGACUGUAUUUGUGCAGGAAAGGAAUUAGUUCUCCCUGCUUCCCACCCCCCACCCCCAAAUGUCAUCUUUGCAUACAAAAUUAAUUCCCCAGUGUGCAAUUGGCUCCAUGAGAUCACAGAGCUGAAAUCAAAACAGCAAUUUGCUGGCUUCUUUCCUUCCCUCCUUUGUGCUGCUCUUAGCAAAUGAACCAUGUGGAAACAACAGGGUAGAUUUACUUGGCUUUGAUGCUGGAGGAAGGCAUGUUUGCUGGUUCAUAAUUGGAAAGGCCACCUGCACGUCCAGAAUGCUGGGGACACUGAGUAGCAAGAACAAGAAAUGUUUCUCUUUCCCUUCAGAAAAAAAUAUUUUCUUUAAUAUAUUUUAUUUUUCAACAGAUCACAUGACCAGACAUUAAGGGUUUCUUUAGACAACCAUCUGAGCAUGUGUUGGCUGCAUGGAGGCAGUUUUUGUUCCCACUGCCAUAUGCAGGAUUUUGUUCUCAGCAUGCAGUGACAAACAUGGAUUUUCCUGGGGUGCCAACUUGUGCUGAAAGCUGAAUCCUGGAUGGUGGUGAAAUUAAUGACAAAUUGAAGGUGAUGGAUGUUUGAACACCAAGGCUAUAACUGACCUUAGGUUAAAAACCACACAACUGGCAAUGUGUGAAUUCACAAUUAAAGCAUGCUGAUGAAGUCAAACUAAUGUAUUGGUUAAGAAAUCUAGCUUUUGACAAAGCCCUGAAACUUAUUUUUUAGGAACUGAAGCCAGCAAACAUUAGAUUUACAUAAGCUAAGGAACAUCCUGAAGGAUGAAGGCAAACAUUCCCUGUUAAGACUAAACUAAAUGAAGCCAAAUAAUUUUCUGAUUAGUUAUCAGUUUGUGAAAUUGAGACAUACACACACACAUAACCCCCUCCAUAUUUUACGGAGCUUGUUACUCUGAGGAGCAGUUGUUUGCACACUGCUACUCUAGUUAGAUUGCAAAAUCCAAUUAGGGAAAAAGAACUGAAUCUAUUGGUCACUUAUGAAGGGCUGACUACAAAAUGAACUAUUACUUUGGCUGUGAGGAAUAGCAACUACAAAAUACAUAACCUAUUUUGAAGCAUCAUUAUUAACUGUUAAUUUUUUUAAAAGAGUCUCUGGGUUGUGUCUGACUAAGACAUACUUACAAUAGCCCCAUUGAAAUCAGUGGACUUAACUGACUGUCCAUUGAUUUCAUUGGGUCUACUCCUGAGUGUGACUUAGUUGAAUACAACCCUCUUAAGUUCAGGUUGUAUUAAUUUUUCUCAGUUCUAUAGUCUACAACAACUUAUUUCUCCCCCAGCUAAUCUUUGUAGGCAUUGGUUAGUGCAAGCCUAUUGCUGCUUAAUGAGCACUGUUGCAUUAAUUCUAAGUACACUAAAUAUGAGGAGUCUUAUCUGCAUUUCCCACCAUCCCUUUUCACUAGCAGUACAGAAUAUUUGUAUUCAAAACUGGGUUGUAUCCAGUGGUGACUUUGCCUUAGCAGAUGUACUUGUGCAAGUUAGGGCAUCUGUUUUUUGCUCAUGUACCCUACCUGCUUAAGCCCCCCCAAAACGCUUCUGAGCACUGAGUGAACCCUCCAGAACAGAAUGAGGCACAACAUUGGGGCCUGUAGUAGGUAAAGAAUUGAUGGAAAUUUGGGUAUCCAGACUUGAGCAAGCAAAAGCACUUUCUGCUAAGCCACUGUUUUUAGAAGAGUUUAACAAAAUGCUUUGAAAUGGGUUAGGUCUUGACUAAUCCUUUUGAUUAGUCACUCUUAGUCACUAAAAUAGCGAUUUUUUGGCAAUUUGCUUCAUAUGCAGAAUCUUCCAAAGUACAUACGUUAUGUUCAUGGCUUCUGAAUGAUCAGUGCUCCAGAAUGGAGUAUAAGAACGAAAGAGUAUUUGAACAAACUCUGCUGUGCUUAUUCCAUGUAUCAGACUCUUUGGGAGACUGCAAAUGGGUGGAGAAUUCAGAAAGAAGGUCACUUACAGAAACUAUUUGGCUUGAUUUUCUGAAGUGCUAUUUAGGCAAGUUAUUCAGUCUGAAAUGCCUUUUCUAGCUACUAUUCUGACAAAUAGGUUUUUUGUCAUUUACAUAAGCCUCGUCCCUUCUACUAAAUUUUAUCCCAUCCUUAAAACAGUUCAGAAGCUUAAUAGGCAUUUGAUACAGGAUUGUUCUAAGUUAUGCAAUGUAUUGGGGUGAGAAGGUCUUGACACCAAUAUUCCUGUAAAAAGUGCCUGGAAAGCAGAAAAGUAGCAUAUAAAUAUAAAUAAAAAGAUUACUAUUUGACACUUCAAAUCAUGCUGUUCUUAAUAGUGUGCUUUUACAGGAUUUGUAUUUCAGCAUCUAGUGUUCAAGAAGAUACAUGAACCCAAAUUGUUUAAGAUGUGGUGUGCAUUCAUGCCUAAUUUUUCUUGCAUUCAGGUGCCUGCAGAUUUAUCAAGAUCAUCCUCUUGUUAACUAGGAUAGCUUUUCCUAUGUUGCAAUUUUUGCAAGACUUUGUGCUGUAGGUCAUACCGACCCUAGAUUCAUAUUCCAGUUGCUUUGGUUUUACUAUGGAGGCUUAUGACUAUGGAACAAAGGGCUGUUUGGAAGCAUUUGAUAUCCCCCUAGACCAACUGUCAAGUCCUUCCUGAAACUUGGAUUUUAGGGAGGGGUCUCUGAUGCAGCACAUGCAAACAACGAUUAUGAAGCUAGUUUUUUUAGUAGCAAGCAUAGCAACUAGAAAUGUUCAAAAGUAUAGAUGACCUUAAAAACAAAGGUUCAAUUUUAAGGGUCUAAUAUAGUUACAGGAAUACUAUUGAAAGGCAAAUUCCAAAAGGAAUUCUGAAAUCAAAAAAUUGGUUCUGGGGAUGGAGUUAAGGUGUUAAGUUACAAACAAUUUAAACUGGGAGCAUAUGGUUUGGAUACUGUUAUAAUCAAGGUUAUGGUACCCUUCAAAACAUUAAGUUGACUUUUUAAUGUUGGAUUGUGAUCUUAAAACUUUAUAGCUAGAGCUGUAUAAACCUCAUCUGCUACAUUUUCAGUAGAAGCCAUUUCCCUUGUAAUUAUGAGAAUUCUAAGAUGGGUGGGGAGAAGAGAAGACUUCAGCUUGCUGUGAUGGGAAGGACCAAACUCAAGACAACCUCUGAACUAUAUAUACAAUUGCUGCAUUUUUAUAAAUAUGUGUAAAUGCCCUUCCUAUUGUAAUAUUUUGAUCCUGGAAAUAAAG